rnacentral:rRNA from 1 species
UACGUAGGUCGCAAGCGUUGUCCGGAUUUAUUGGGUUUAAAGGGUGCGUAGGCGGGCUUAUCAGUCGGCGAUGAAAUGGCGGGGCUUAACCCUGGCCGCUGUUGCCGAUACUGUAAGUCUUGAAAUCAGAUGAGGCUACCGGAAUGAGUGGUGUAGCGGUGAAAUGCGUAGAGAUCACUCAGAACGCCAAUUGAGAAGUCAGGUAGCUGGGCUGUAUUUGACGCUGAGGCACGAAAGCGUGGGGAGCAAACAGG